rnacentral:rRNA from 1 species
CCUACGGGAGGCACCAGUGGGGAAUAUUGCACAAUGGGCGCAAGCCUGAUGCAGCCAUGCCGCGUGUGUGAAGAAGGCCUUCGGGUUGUAAAGCACGUUCAGCGGGGAGGAAGGCGGUGAGGUUAAUAACCUCAUCGAUUGACGUUACCCGCAGAAGAAGCACCGGCUAACUGCGUGCCGGCGGCCGCGGUAAUACGGAGGGUGCAAGCGUUAAUCGGAGUUACUGGGCGUAAAGCGCACGCAGGCGGUCUGUCAAGUCGGAUGUGAAAUCCCCGGGCUCAACCUGGGAACUGCAUUCGAAACUGGCAGGCUAGAGUCUUGUAGACGGGGGUAGAAUUCCAGGUGUAGCGGUGAGAUGCGUAGAGAUCUGGAGGAAUACCGGUGGCGAAGGCGGCCCCCUGGACAAAGACUGACGCUCAAGUACGAAAGCGCGGGGAGCAAACAGGAUUAGAUACCCGGGUAGUC